rnacentral:rRNA from 1 species
AGGGAAGCCGUUAAGCCCGCCGCCUGGGGAGUACGGCCGCAAGGCUGAAACUUAAAGGAAUAGACGGGGGGGCACACAAGGGGUGGGGUGUGCGGUUUAAUUGGACUCAACACCGGAAACCUUACCGGGGGCGACAGCAGGAUGAUGGCCAGCCUGAAGGGCUUGCCGGACACGCUGAGAGGAGGUGCAUGGCCGCCGUCAGCUCGUCGCCGUGAGGUGUCCUGUUAAGUCAGGAAACGAGCGCGACCCGUGCCCGCAGUUGCUACGGUCUGGAAACCCAGACCGGCACACUGCGGGGACUGCCGGGGAAACCCGGAGGAAGGCGCGGGCGACGGCAGGUCCGCAUGCCCCGAAUCCCCCGGGCUACACGCGCGCAACAAUGGGCGGGACAAUGGGGAUCCGACCCCGAAAGGGGAAGGAAAUCCCCUAAACCCGCUCCCAGUCCAGAUUGCGGGCUGCAACUCGCCCGCAUGACGGCGGAAUCCCUAGUAAUCGGGGGGUCACUAUCCCCCCGGUGAAUACGUCCCUGCCCCUUGUACUCACCGCCCGUCACGCCACCCGAGCUGGCCCCCAGUGAGGCCGUAGAAAUCUACGGUCGAACUGGGGGCUGGCGAGGGGGGCGAAGUCGUCACAAGGUAGCCGUAGGGGAACCUGCGGCUGGAUC